rnacentral:rRNA from 1 species
UACAUGGGGUGCAAACGUUGCUCGGAAUUAUUGGGCGUAAAGCGCGCGUAGGCGGUUACUUAAGUCGGAUGUGAAAGCCCCUCGGCUUAACUGAGGAAGUGCACCCGAAACUGAGUAGCUAGAGUACGAAAGAGGGUCGCGGAAUUCCCGGUGUAGAGGUGAAAUUCGUAGAUAUCGGGAGGAACACCGGUGGCGAAGGCGGCGACCUGGGUCGAGACUGACGCUGAGGCGCGAAAGCGUGGGGGAGCAAACAGG